rnacentral:rRNA from 1 species
GGGCGCAAGCCUGAUGCAGCGACGCCGCGUGUGGGAUGAAGGGGCUACGCCUCGUAAACCACUGUAGCCCGGGACGAAAAACGCCUUAUAGGCGUUAGACGGUACCGGGAAAGUAAGGGUCGGCUAACUACGUGCCAGCAGCCGCGGUAAUACGUAGGACCCAAGCGUUUUCCGGAUUUACUGGGUGUAUAAGGUGCGCAGGCGGAUGGGUAAGUCAGGGGUGAAAGUCUGCAGCUUAACUGUAGAAUUGCCUUUGAUACUGCUCAUCUUGAGUGGGGGAGAGGUCGAUGGAAGUCCAGGUGUCGCAGUGAAAUGCGUAGAUAUCUGGAAGAACGCCAGUGGCGAAGGCGGUCAACUGGCCCAUAACUGACGCUCAUGCACGAAAGCGUGGGGAGCAAACA